ACUUUGAUAUCCUGUAUACAUUCGUAUUGGUAUUUAUAUUUGAAAGAUGAACAUUCUGCUAGAGUAUCAAAUAGGAUUAUUGCAUGUCUCAAUUAUUGGGAUCCUCGGACACAAACAAACAACAGUAGUGGUGUUUACGUACCUUUGGUAUCAGGGCAUAAGGAGCUAGCACCCAGAUUGACAUUUCCCGAAAGGUAGGGAGCUCUCUGUUUACUCUUUCUUUCGUUACAAUGACAGAUGAAAUAAACAGCCAGAGUGGGGAAAUCCCAUUCAUACUACCAGAUAACUGGUUCCCCUUUGAAAACGCUAACCGUUAAUUCAAACCAUCCCUUGGGGAUAAGCUCGAGGGAAUUGGAGGGUCGGAGUCUAAUAGAGAACAAACCACUUUGAUAGUUUGAUUUCUGAAAGAACCUCCUGAGUAUUGAGGAUAGGGGGGCUUAGAUGUUAAUGUGACAACAAAGCUCACAAUCUUACGAUUAGUAUUCAGCGGAUACCGUUUUUAACGAACUCGGCAAAAAUGAAGUCGGACUGUUUAUUAAAAACAUUUCCUGAAGUCUUGUAUUCCAGGUAUGACCUGCCCAAUGCCUAUAUGGUCAAUGGCUGCAGCGUUCAACUGUACAAAGGUAGCAAAAGUCAUUAGCCUCUUGAUUGGAGGAUAGCGUGAAUGGUCGAACCAGACUUCAACUGUUUCAAAAACGAAUGAAGAAUUUGGGUUUCAGGUAAGAACACCUGAGUGCCUCGGUGGGACGAGAAGACCCUGUAGAUUUUUACCCUAAGCUUUUAGUUUAAAACUUACGUUACAAGCUAAGAUUUAGGGUUUACCUGGGAAGGGGGAGAUAACAACUUCCAACUAUGAAGACUAACAAGUCGAUUAUUGAUCCCCAAUAUGGGAUAAUGGGAACAAAAUACCUCAGGGGUAACAGCAUAAUCCCUUCCUACCGAUCUCAGGUAGUGAUGGUGUUUGUGACCUCGAUGUUGAAUUGGGGUUACUUCGGGAUGCAGAAGACCCAGAAGUGAGUCUGUUCGACUCUUAAAUCCCCACGUGAUCUGAGUUCAGACCGACGUGAGUCAGGUCAGAUUCUAUCUACCGGUACAAAUUUCCCUCUCGGUACGAAAGGAUAGGAGGGAAGGCUAAACAAAGCCUAAGAAUUUUCACAUC
rnacentral:rRNA from 1 species